rnacentral:rRNA from 1 species
CACGUAGGAGGCGAGCGUUGUCCGGAAUCAUUGGGCGUAAAGAGCGCGCAGGCGGCUUGGCAAGUCGGGUGUGAAAUCCCGGGGCUCAACCCCGGGACUGCAUUCGAUACUGUCAGGCUAGAGGUAGGUAGGGGAGAUCGGAAUUCCUGGUGUAGCGGUGAAAUGCGUAGAGAUCGGGAGGAAGGCCGGUGGCGAAGGCGGCGCUCUGGAACAUUUCUGACGCUGAGGCUCGAAAGCGUGGGGAGCAAACAGG